CCAGGGGCCCCACACUCUGGCUACCUGCAGGGCCUGCCAUAAAAAGCAUGGCUGCCCACUAGCCUCCAGUUGGGGCUUAUAUUGGUGGAAGAGAAGUUGGCCAAGAGGAAGGAGACAGGCAACACCCAUCCAUUUGGGGAGGCGAUGUAGCGCCACCAACCCUCCCGGCUGGAGGCUGCAACUAAUGAGUGGAGGUAGGCGUCGCAGGUCCUUUGCCAGGGGCCGGGAGGGGGAUUCCCCUGCUGAGCUCCUUCACCCGGCCUGCUCAACAUGCACCUCUCCAGUCCCAGACCAUCCAAGAAUCAUUUGGCCUCGGGGCGCUGAUGGGGAAGAUGGGAAGAAAUGGACCGAGGUUCGCGCCAAGGACGGGAAAGAAUAAAGAA